ACGCCUGGUUGUGCCUUUCACUCGCCCUGGACUUUCCCCUGGGACGGUCACGUUGACGGCUCUAUGCGCCAGGUGGUCUUUGGGUGAGGAAACAAACCCAGGCCGGCAGGGAUUGGGGCUCCACUCUCCCCUCUGCCUCCCUGCAGAGGCCCCUCCGCUCUGAGCAGCCUGCAGCCCCCCUGGGGGUUUCCAGGAGGCCUGGAUCUCAGUGCUGAGUCCUUGCCCGGGUCUGGGCAUUGCAGCACCAGAAUUCUCAACAGGGGGCGCCCGCGAGCCCAGACGGCGCCCGCGCGCCUGGCUCGCGUCCUUCGGGGCUCAGGCUGCAGGGAAGGGCUUGGAAUUCAAUCCUCCGCAUUCCAGCCAGGGUUCCUGUGACAUAAUAAAGCCCAACGAGGGCUCUCGAGUGACUGGUCAGCAGAAGCCCGGGCGGGAUUUUCUAUAGAUAGCCAGGGUGUGUCUCGGGCCGUGUCCCUCUCCGCAGGGGGAAAGUUCUUUUACGCUUGGGCCGGGCCGCGCCGUGCGCAGCAGCCCUCAGCUGUGGCCUGGGAAAGCAGUGGAAGAUGGCCCAAGUCCUUAGGCACCUGCACCCAUGUGGGAAGCUCUUGGCUUCGGAUUGGCACAGCUCCAGCCAUUGCAGCCAUCCGGUGAGUGAACCAGUGGAUGGAAAACCUCUCUCUCUCUCUCUGCCUCUGCCGCUCUGUAACUCUGCCUUCAAAUAAAUAAAUAAAUCUUUAAAAAAUUAUAUCUUUAAAAUAAAAUAAAAUAAAGGGUAGAUAGUUCUGGAAGAGUGUAAGCCAGACAAAUCACUGAACCAAGCAAGGCACAGAAAGAAACCUCCAAACAUACCAGGAGCCAGAGACUGAAGGUAAAGACACAAAGGAGGGCAAGCCAGAGAAGUCAGACAAGAGGCAGGAGGGAGGUGUGGGCUCAGGGCUGUCUGGGAGCCCGCUGUCUGCAUCUGCUCCGUGUAACUAGCCCUUGUGUGGCAGCAUGAUGGAGACGCAUUUCUAAUCAUAUGGCACCAGCUGUGAAUGUAGAUACACUGCAGCUGCGUGCUCCUACUGCAAACUGGCGACUCGCUCACCUUGCAAACUCUCUGGGCUCACCUCCUUUCUGGAGGUAGUGCUCCUGUUCAUUUUCACAUAUCUUUGCAUUUAGAAUAGAGUUUUAAGAUACAACAUCUGAAGACAUUGCAAACGUGGAAUGUGCACUUUAACUGUCCUGUAGGCUAUUUCUGUUUUUACUUAGAUUUCAUCAAAGUCUCAAAUAGGAUUUGAAGUGAUUAAGGACUCCUAGAUGGCUUGUGAGGGCACACAAAUGGAAGAGUGGAAGUGGGGACCUGCCCCGCACAGGGCUGUGUGGCUCACACUCCUGUCUAUUCCCUCCCCACCCAGUUGCUGGGAGUCAGACCCUCUGGUGUUGGAAGGCCUGGGUCCAGAUCCCAGCUCAGCCAGGGGACUGUGUGAUGGGCAGAACUGGCCUCCCCUGUCUGGGCCUCUGAUUUCUCUCGCUUUAUUGUAAUCAGAUUCUGUAAUCAGUGUUGGUAUUUCAAUGACAUGGCAGUGACACACGAUUCCAGGACCCACACUCGGAUUUUAUCAGUGACUCACGUGCAUGAUUACAAUAUCAAAUAGCCCAAAGGUCUUAUAAAGUAACAAAAUGACCCCCUUCACUCACGCUUCCCCAACUUCUUUUGGCUUCCCACAGAUGAUAGCCUUCAGUCAGUUUCUGUUUUUAGUUUUUCUUGUGGUUUCUUCUCCACCUCCAAAGAGUUUGUUUACAGGGCUGUAUCUUCAUCAACUUUAGUAGACAUUAUCUAUAGCCACUUCCUUUAAGGUUAGAUAAAGUCUUGUUUCAUGUCCCCCACUCCCUUGAAAGUUUUAGCUAUUUUAGUUUCUCUAUUAUGGUUGUAACUAUUGACAAACCUCUAAUUCUUAUUCCAUCAACAGUCAACAAUACCUUUGACUUCUCAUUCCCUGAGAUUAAGUCAGCACCCAAAGUCCUUUUACUCUGCCUCUCUCCUUCCUUCUACUUCCUAAAUCCUAUCUCUUCUGUAACCACAAUUAAGUUUCCUCUGCUGUGUUUAUACAUUGAUUCUAAAAACUGAAAACCAGAAAAGAGUGCUCAUAUUAGGACUAUAUAAAUACAGUUAAUUAUAGAGUCAGUAUUAUGCAUUGAUUACAUUUCUUCAUUAUAGUUCUAAUGUCAUGACCCCAGUGCCAAUCAAGGCAAAAUGUUUCUAGCACUAAGGGACAAAUAGAGCCUUCUUUCUCACACUCAUCUGGUUGCUCAAAAUAACACCAAUAACACCACAUUUUAGUUUAGUUUCUAUGUGGACUAUGACUUAUUUGUACAAUCUUUUGUUUUUCCUGGAGUUUUGGAUUGCCUUUUUUUCCCUGUUGAUAGAAGAAUUAUGAGGUUACUUCAAAAAGUUGGGAAAAAAUUGAAUUCAAAGAUAAGUUUAUUUUGGUGCAAAAAUUUUUUGAAUUUGUGAUUAAUUUUUUCAUAAUAUGCACUUUUAUGAACUUUUUGAAGACCCCUCAUUUAUGCCUCAAUUAUCAUAGUCACCUUUUAAUCAUUCUACUUAUUACUUGGAAUCCAUUCCAUUCUCAUGGAAAAAAAUUUAAACUUUUAUAUAUUCAUUUGGAAUGCAGAGAGAUAGACAGAUUUCACAUCCACUGUUUACUCCCUGAAUGUCCACAAUAGCCAGGACUGGGCCAGGCUGAAGCCAGGAGCCAGAAACUCAAGGCAAGUCUCCCUUGCAAGUGGCAGGGAUCCAACCACCUGAGCCAUCACCUUCUGCCUCCCAGGGUGCACAUUAGUAGGAAGAUGAAAGAGGGAAGUGGAGUCAGGACUCAAAUCUAGACAUUCUGAUGUGAGAUGUGGUUAUCUCGAGCAGCACCCUUAAAAUUAUGCCGAACACCUGCUCCUAAAACAUUUUUCUUGGAAUCUAUUGAUACUCUGUUUUAAUCUGAGAUAGUUACUUUCUAGGUCAGCUGACAACUGGCAUCUAGAAAUUUUCUGGGUGAAUUCAAUCAUUUCUUUAAUAUUUUCCAUUUUCUGGGAUUUUGCCUUAGUGAUCACACUGAAGUAACUUCUUAAGGAUAUAUAUAUAUAUAUGUAUAUAUAUAUAUAUGUAUAUAUAUAUAGGAGUAAACUUGCAUUCUUGUUAUCUGAAACUGUCUUUGGUGUGUGCUCAUAUUUGAAUGCUUAUUUAGGUUGAUAUAAAAUAAUUUCAAAAUUAUUUGUUCUUAGGACUUUUUAAAAAUUGUAUGCAUUUGUUGAGGGGUGAGUGUGGAAUAGAGAGCUCCCAUCCCCUAGUUCACUCCCCAAAUGCUCACGAGAGUUGGGUCUAAGCCAGGGCUGAAGUCAGGAGCCGAGAACUCAAUUCAGGUUUCCCACAGGGGUGGCACAAGCCAAAUUACUUGAGCCUCCACUGUUGCAUCCCUGGGUAUGGAUUGGUAAUAAGCUGGAGUCAGUAGCCAGAGCUGGGUAUCAAACAUUGGUGCCUUGAUAUGAAAUUCAGGGAUCUUAACCACUUAGGCUGAACACCCACGUCCUCUCGGAACUCUUAAGGACUUUAUUCUACUGCAUUUUGGCAUAUGUGAUAUGGAUUAGAACUCUGAUGCCAGUCUGAUUCUCUUUCCUUUGUGGGGAAUUUCUCUUUGGAACUUCUUAGCAUCUUCUGAUGUCUGGCGCUCUGCAAUUCCACAGUGAGGAGGUCUGCAAAAGCAUUUUUUUUCUUUUUCCUUGCUGGGAAUUUGGUAGCCCUUGUGUUUUGGUAGUUCCAAGCCUUUUCUUCUAUGUCCUCGUUUCCAUUCCCAUGGGCUUUCAUUGUUCUCUGUCUGGAACUCCUGACAGUCAAUGCCAGAAACCAUCUUCUGUGCCUCUUUCCUUCCCAAUUGCUCUCUUGUUUUCCUCUGUGUUCUGAAAGACUUUCCUUAAUUUAUAUUCCAUCAUUUCUAUUAAGCUUUUGAUUUUGGUGGUAGGCAUUUUGUCUAGUGGUUAAGAUACCCGUGUCCCACAGUGAGGUGCCUGGAAUUGAUUCCAGCUUCCUGCUAAUGAAGGUUGCAGUGAUGAUGCAAGUGUUUGGAUCCCUGCUACUCAUGUGGGAGACCUGGAUUGAGUCCCUGGCUUCUGGCUUUGACCUGACCCAACCGUGGCUCUAGCAAGCUCCCAGUGGUUGAGAGCCAGCUCUCUGUCUGUCUUUCUGUGUCUCUCUGUCUCUUCAAUAAAUACAAAAAAAAAAAACACCAAAAAAUUAGAAGAAAAGAAAAAUCAAAUGUUCUCUUCUCAUAUUCUUUUUGAAUUAGUAGCAGUCCUUAGAUGGGAACCAAGGUACAGGUUUCCUAGCACUUAAGGCCAGGACCCAUUCUGAGUAGUUCUGUCUGCUCUGAUUGGUCGGCAGUGCUGUACUAGGUAAAUGUUUUAAAUAUCACCUCUAUUUAAAAUAUGGAUUAUAAUGGUCUGUUUCUUAGGCAUAAAUGCUAAGGUAAAUGAUGUCUGUUAAUGUCAAUAAGAAAAAAUUAAUAACAAUUUUGAUUUUCUUCUGGUGGAUAGCAUGCUUUUUUUUUAUAUACCUCUAAGAGCAGGACGUAAUACCUGACAAUUUGCCAGCACCAACAGGCAAACAUAAACUAAAAUAUCAAAGGAUAUAAAUUGUAUAGUCAGAAAAUGCAAAAAAAGACAAAAUUAAAUAUCACACAUUGACAGUCUCCAAAAAAUAAAAUAGAUUAAAAAGGUAUUUGUGAGUCUUUAUAAAAUUCUAGUGAAAUGUAAAGAACACAGUGCUUUUUUUUAAAGACAAUAAAAUAUGUCUUGCUGUUAGUCAUAGUAUGUAUAAUAGCUAACCUUCCUUUUUGUGUGCCAGGGUCUAUUUUAAGUAUUUUACUUCCAUCAGCUAGGUUUUUCUCCACAAUGGAUGUGAAGGGCUAUUAUCACCCAUUUUCAGAUAUGAGCCCUUGAGCCACAUGACCUGAUCAUCUUUCUGGUGUUAGAAGUAUUCACUUGCUUUGGAAUUAGAAACAGAAAUUAUUACUCUCUGUCUAUUUAUCUAUCUAUCCAUCUAUCUAUCUCUGUGUUUUUGAUGUAGUUAUUUCUCCCUACUUUAUUUAUUCUUAAUUGACAAAUAAAAAUUAUAUGUAUUUAUCAUGUACAAUAUAAUAUUUUGAAAUAGGCAUACAUCAUGAAAUGGCUGAAUUUGGCUUAUUAAUGUAUGCAUUAUCUCACAUACUUCACUUUUGUGGUGAGAGCAUUUAAAAUCUCUUCUUGGUGAUUUUCAAGAAUACGUUGCAACUAACUGUAGGCACUACAUUGUACGAUAGAGCGCUAUCCGCCUCCAGCUACUCCAAUAACCACCUGUGUACACUACUUAUCUGAGCUCAAUCUCCUUAGAGUCCACAUAUGAAUGCCAUCAUGUGGUAUUUAUCCUCCCAUGUCUGCGUUAUUUCUCUCAGCACUAUGUCCUCCAUGUUGCUCCAGGUUGUGAAAAAUGAUACAAAUUUCCUCCUUUGUAAAGAAUGAAUGGGAUUCCAGGUUGACUUCCUAUUUUGAAUUGUGAAUAACGUUGCAAUGAAUUUGAGAAUGCAGAUAUCUUGUGCACAUACUGAUUUCAUUUCCUUUGAAUAUAUACCUAGAACUGAGAUUGCUGUAUUAUAUGGUAUCCUAUUUUGAAUAUUUUAAAGAAGUCUCAUAAUGUCUUCUCUAGUGGUCAUACCAAUUUAGAGUCCCAUCAAAACUACACAAGGAUUCUCUUUUCUCCACAUCCUCACCAGCCCAUUCUAACUGGGGUCCUGUGAUCUUUCACCGGGACUUUAACCUAUAUUUCUUUGGUGACUAGUGAUUGAAAAUUUCUUUUUUUUUUUUAAGAUUUGUUUAUUUGAAAGUCAGAGUUACACAGAGAGAGGAGAGGCAGAGAGAGAGAGAGAAGUAUUCCGUCUGAUGGUUCACUCCCCAAUUGGCCACAAUGGCCGGAGCUGCGCCGAUCCAAAGCCAGGAGCUUCUUCCGGUUCUCCCACGUGGGUGCAAGGGCCCAAAGACUCAGGCCAUCCUCCACUGCUUUCCCAGGCCAUAGCAGAGAGCUGGAUCAGAAGUGGAGCAGCCAGGUCUUGAACUGGUGCCCAUUUAGAAUGCUGGCCCUUCAGGCCAGGGCAUUAACCCACUGCGCCACAGCAGCCCUGAGAAUUUUUUUUACAUACAUGUUGGCAAUUUUUAUGCCGUCUCUUGAGAAAUGUCUACUCAGGUCCAUUUUUAAAUAAAAUUGUGUUCCUGUUAUUGAGUUCAAGUUCUUGUUUGCAAACAUCUUUUGUCUUUCCUUGGGCUGUCUCUUCACCCUGUUGAGUGUUUCCUUGACUGCACAGAAGAUUUUUAGUUUGAUGUAACCUCAUUUGUCUAAUUUUGGUUUUGCUGCCUGUGUGUUCAGGGUCACCUUCAAAAUGUCAUUGUCAAGACCAAUGUCAUAAAAAAAUUGCUGCUGUGUUUUCUUCCAGUAGUCUUACAAGUUCAGGUUUCACAUUAAGUUUUUAAUCUAUUUUGAGUUGAUUUUUGUCUAUGGGGUGAUCCAAAAGUCUAAAUCCCACCUUUUACAUGUAGAUAUUCAGUUGCCCCAACACCAUUUGUAGAAGAGAUUGCCUCUACCCAAUAUGUGUUCUUGGCAUCCUUGUUGAAAUUCAAUCAGCUGUAAAAGUAUAGAUUUGUUUCUGGGCUUCCUACUUUGUUCCCUGGGUCUGUGUCAGUGUCUCAAGCCCUAGGCUGGCCCCUGACCAGCAGGGGCCACUACAGAUACUCCCCAACAAGGCGAACGGGAGAGGUAAGGUCGACGGGUCAAACACACCACAGCAAGCACCCGUGAGUUCUGUCGAAGCAGAAACCGCUUUAUUGAAGAAGUAUGCAGGCUUACAAAGCUUACAAAAGACAUGGGCAGUAGGGGAGCCAAUCAGUGAAAAGGUCAUGCAGGCGUGGGUGGAGCACACACAGGGGCACCUUAAGCAAAGUAUAGGGAUCAUGCACUGUCCACGUGUCCAGAACUAAAGCAGACCUAUCCCUGUUGGUGGUCUGAUCUUAUGUAGCUUAACCAAAGCAGCCACAGACACGCCCCUCGAACAUCCGACAGGUGCCAUAUUGUAAUGGAGACUUUAGGCAAUGCCCAACAGGUCUAGGUAUCUGUUUCCAUGCCAGAACCAUGCUGUUUUGGUUACUUAACGCUUGAGGGUAUAUUUUGAAUCCAGUUAUUAUAAUGCCUCUAGUUUUGUUCUUUCUGCUCAAGAUCACAUGGGCUGUUUGGGGGCUUUUGUGGUUGUGUAGAAAUUUUAGGCUGUUUUUUCUAGUUUUGUGAAAAAUGACCCUGGAAUUUUGAUAGGGAUUGAAGGUGUAGAUUUCUUUUUAUCUUAUGAAUAUUUUAACAAUAUUAGCUCUUCUAAUCCGUGAGUGCAGGGUAUGUUCCCAUAUAUUUAUUGAAUUCAUUGCUUUCUUCCAUUAUUAUUUUGUAGUUUUCAGUGUACAGGUCUUUCACUUCUUUGGUACAAUUUAUUCUUUAUGGUAACCAUUGUAAAUGGGAUAUUUUUUCUUGAUUUCUUAUUGGGAUAGUUUGCUUUUGGUAUACCAAGUACUACUGAUUUUGUAUGCUGCAGGUUUACUGAAUUAACUUAUCAGCUCUAUUAGUUUUUAGUAGUGUCUUGGAUUUUCUAUACAGAUGAUUUUCUAUAUAUAAGGUCAUAUCUGCAAACAGAAACAAUUUGACUUCUUCCUUUCCUUUUUGGAUGCUUUUCAUUUCUUUCUCUUUCCUAAUUUCUCUAGACUGCUAGGGCAAUGUUGAAUAAAAGUGACAAGAUCGGGCACCCUUGUCUUGUUCCAGAUCUUAGGAGGAAUAGCUUACAACUUUUUGCUGUUGAGAAUCAUCUUAGUUGUGGAUUGUUAUAUAGGGCCUUUAUUAUGUUUAGGUAUGUUCUCUCUAUACCUAAUUCACUGAGAGUUUAUUUUUUUUAUAAUGAAAGGAGUUAAAUUUUGUUAAGUGUUUUUUACUGCAUGGAUUGAGAUGAUCACUAUGGUUUUUGUAUUUUAUUCAGUUAAUGCAGUGUAUCACAUUCAUUGAUUAGCUUAUGUCAAACCAUCCUUGUAUCCCUAAGAUGAAUCCCACUUGAUCAUGGUAAAUGAUCUUCUUAAUGUUCUGUUGAGUUGAUUUGCUAAUAUUUUGUUGAGAAUUUUCACAUCUGUGUUCAUCAGGGAUAUUGGCCUGUAAUUUUAUUUUCUUAUAUUAUCCUUGUCUGGAUUUGGUAUUGGGGUAAUGCUGGCCUUAUAACAUAAGUAUUCCUCUCUUUGAAUCUUUUGGAAGAGUUUUGGAAGUAUUGAUAUUAGUUCUUCAUAAAUGUUAGGUAAAAUUCGCCAGUGAAGCCAUCAAAUCCUGGGCUUUUCUUUGAUGGAAGACUUUUUUUUAUUAUUACUGAUUUGAUAUCCUUAUUCAUUAUUAAUCUAUUCAGAUUUUUCUAUUGGUAUGGAAAACUGGUGAGAUGAGUCUGAGCUCAUGUCCUGGUGUCGAUGACAACUUAUGAGACCGGACAUAAUGGUGAGAGUAGACGAAGUGAAGUUUUAUUUAAGUAAGGAAAAGAGAAGCUCUGAACAAUACUCUUGUAGAAAGAGAGACAGAGCAAGCCGGUGAGGUCUUGGGGUAGAUCUAUGUCCUUAACACAUUAUCUUCAAAGAGCAAAUGCAGUGGUUAUACAUUAAUUACUGUGAGGUCAAGGGCAGACUUACGGAGCCUUUUUGAAUUAGUUUCUGCUGAAAUCUAAGUCUUGUCUGUUGGCAGAUAUUUGUCACGAUGGCUUUCCAUCCUGUUUUGUUUAGUAUGUAUGUGCUGGCAAUGAGCUGCAGGAUGGAACCAGUAUGGCCUGUUUCUAGUCCUGGGCUCCCUUGCUAUUUCUCCAUGAUUCAAUCUCAGCGGUUAGGUGUUUCUAGGAAUUAAUCAUUUCUUGUUGGUGUAUAACUGUCCCUGGUCGCCUCCUACCAUUGUUGUUAUUUCUGUAGUAUCAGUUGUGAUGUCUCCUCUUCUGAUUCUUUCUGUUAGCAUCCAGUUCUCACUUGUGGAUGCAAUCUUUCAAACCUUUCUGUGGUGUUGCAUUCGUGGGUCUUGACUCACAAGAGAUAGUCAUGGUUCAUAUCCACCGUCUGGCAUAGUUAUUAAUAGGUCCCAUUGCUACUGUUGAUUUGAACCCUGGGAACUUGUUCUUUUGAGGACGAAGAGUGUGGCAAUGAAGGAGCAGGCAAGAGGGCGAUUUGAGCAUAGUUUAUUGGGAAAAAGUGAAGAGACAGAAAUUCCUGAACUCCAUAGACCAGGCAGGAGUCCCAGUGAAGGACCGAGAGCCCAGUCUGUGUUCAGACAGGGGUUUUCCUGGACCUGAGUAGGGGGGGGGUCCCCAUUUCUUCUCCCCUCCUCCCUCUUCUGGGAAAGUCUGGGUAGGGCUUUUAGGAUGUGGAAUUCCCCUGAACAAACCUCUCUGGACAACACUGGCCAUCAGGAUUGUUAUCUGUUGGAGAAUCAAAUGACUUCUUCAGUCCAGUAGGGCCAGCUAUACCGCUCCCUCAUGUCAGUGACUGACUCCCUCUGAUACAGGAUAGGCGAGGACGCCUUGGGCUAAGGGAGACAGACAGAAGGCUGGAUCCCGCUCUCGGAACUUGUGUCUUUGUUCCAUUGCACAUCAAUUUCUUUUUUUUUUUUUAAGAUUUAUUUAUUUAUUUAUUUUAGAGGCAGAGUUACAGAGGGAGAGAGAGCAAGAGUGACAGCGAGAGCGAGAGAGAGAAAGAGAGAGAGAGAUCUUCUAUCUGCUGGUUCACUUCCCAAAUGGCCACAAUGGCCAUAGCUGGGCCAAACUGAAGCCAGGAGCCAGGUGCUUCUUCCAGGUCUCCCAUGUGAGUGCAGGGACCCAAGGACUUGGGCCAUCCUCCACUGCUUUCCCAGGCCACAGCAGAGAGCUAGAUUGGAUUGGAAGAGGAGCAGCCAGGACUCGAAUGGGCACCCACAUGGGAUGUCAGCGCCACGGGCAGAGGAUUAAUCCACUGCGCCAUGGCUCCAACCCCUCAAUAUAGUUAUUAACUAGAUAUAUUUACUAAGUAGAAUUCAGUAUUUUUACUUAUUAAGUAAAUUGUUUUAACAUUCAUGCUUUAAAAUUAUUGCAAAACCAUUAAAAGACAAAGUAUGCAAGUGUUUUCAGCUCAUUAAUCUCCCAGAUAAAGAGCUUCUAAAAGUAAAAACAAAAACAAAAUGCCAUAGAGAAAAAUAAACCAAGGACAAGGCACUGAGAACAAAAUGCAAAUGGCUCUUAACCACAUGUCAAGGUGCUAAACCUCACUGGCAGCAAGAUAAAUGCAAAGCAAAAACCACAGUAAAAUACAAUUCCCCAUCUAGCAGAGUAACACACAUCCAAAAGGUUGACAGCCGUCUCUGUUGGUGAGGCUGUCCUCGUUUGUUGUUGGUGACAAUGCAGACGAUGCCCUCUGGGAUGGGAAGACCUGUGGUAGCUACCCUAAUCAUGGAAGUGGUCACCAAGUCGCCUAGUUACCCCGCCUCUGGGAAUCUACUCAACAUACCUGACAUAUGUACACAUUUAUUACUUACAGCAAUGCAAAGGCAAAGGGUUGGAAGCCAUUCAAAUAUUAGUCAAUGGGACUGCUUAAAUCAAUUAUGGCACAGCAGGCAGUGGAAUACUAUGGAGCAGUGAAGAAAAACGCAAGUUCUUUGAAUGUGGCUAUGGGCGGAGUCUCAAGGUAUUUUCUGAAGUGGGAAAAGCAAGCAACAGGACACAUAGAAUGCAUUCUUCUAAGAAUUCUUGUAAGAACACAGAGGAUUCCAAAAUAUCUACUGGCAUUGGCAUGAAGAAAAAUUGAAAGGAUAAAGAUAUAGCCUCCUUGCAGGCUGGAGAGAGACUUCUCUUCUAUUAAUUUUUCAAUCACGUACCUGACCUGCACAUUGGAAAAACAAAAUGUAAUUUUAAAACUAAAUGAGCAUGGAGAUGAAGAAGUCAUUGUCAUUUCCUAGUGUUUUACAGUGCCUGAAGGAUCACAGAUCCCACUAGAAGUCCCAGGCCUACAAACACAUGGAUGGGUUUCAGACUCACAGAAUCCAGGACUGGAAAAAUUGGCAAGGACCUAGCGGGUGGCUUGUUCCAGCUCCCUCAUUUUUCAGAUGAAUAAGCUGAGGCUCACAGGGGUCUAGCAACUCGCCCCAGGUCACACAGUCAUUCAUCAAAGCCAGGUGUUACCCCAGCUGGUUGGUGUUCUACCACUAGUGCCCCCCAGAAAACUUAGGUGAUAAGUGAUGUGACAUAGAAAUCUCUAUCACAUGGCUUAAGCCAGAAACAAACAUAAUCAGUCCAUUUAUUUGUGGAAUGCUAAUGGAGUCCCGUUUUUUAUGCUAGACCAUAUACUGGAGGCUGGAGCUACAACAAAGACAAGAAGUUCUCACCUGCCUCUUGCUAAACACACCCCAUCUCUCAUGGAGCACUCUGACCCGAGGGACAAGACCCUUUGGACAUGGUGUGCCCUUGUCCGGGCUCCCCUUCUCCUCCCCUGGGGGGUGUUAGGACCUGCCUGGUCUCUAGUCCCCCAACUCUUGCCCUUGGCAACCAGAGGGCUUAUGCUGGAAGCCAUACUCUGGGUGGACUGAAGUCAGAAUAGUGAGAGGGGUCAGAACAUGCACCCCAAAAUGUGACACCUUGGCAUUUGAGAACAUAGCUGAAGGCCACCGUCACCUCCCCCUUUCCCUUCCUCCCUGAAUGAGGCCAUAAAACCGAGCAAAGUCACUCUCUGACCUCUUCCUCCCUUCCCCCAACCCCCCACUGAAGCCUCUCAUGUGGCAGGUGUCAAGCCCUCCUUUGAAAGGAAGAAGUAUCAUACAGGGACGUGGAGAAGAAUCUGAAGUCACAGGCCUUGCUAAGAUCCUCCAGCUUAUAACCACAAGCACAGUCUUACCAGCAGCUGCUUCACGCUCAUGGGGAUUUCACACAGGAGUGUCCACGCCCUUCCUGGUGUCUGGUCACCUGCAUGUUCCCAUGUACACCAUUUUAUUCAGGAAGCCUCUUCAACUCCAUCUUGAAGUGAGGUUGACAUCUGCGGGGACUCGUACACCAAGGCAGCACAGUGCAAAAGCAGCACCAUGUCCGCGGGCAUCGCUGACGGCAUGCAGAGGGAAAUCGGCGCCCGGGCGCCCAGCACGAGGAAGCUCAAGAUCAUCGCUCCCCCCGAGGGCAAGGCGGGUAGAUCAUCGCUCCACCCUGGCCUCGCUGUCCACCUUCCAGUAAAUGUGAGUCAGCAAGUAGGAGUCCGACACCUCCCUCACACCAGGGAAUUGCGUGCUGCAAGUAGCAGUUCUUGGGAUCUGAAUUUAGGAACCGGAACCCAUAGCCACGAGAACAAAGGGAAGAGACGGGAAGGAAUCCACCUGAUUAUUUCUGAGAUUUUCUGAAGGAAACUGUUCUUGAGAAACAAGCUUUGGAAAGAAAAAUAAAAUAAGCACAUACGCAAAAGCCAUGGGGAAACUUCUGUUUUCAUUAAUAAUCAUUAGGGAGAAGAUAUAAAGUUGUACUUUGCUUUCAGCCAUGGACAGAUAUGAAUUAAACUUUUAACUCAAUCUAUUGGUGUAGAUGCUCAUUUCAUUAACUGUCACCUCUGAUUUAUUACCUUAAUAUUUUAACAAUACAUUAAUAGUGCAUUCUUCUGGCUCGGCUCCCCAAUUAAUUUUCUAUAAGUAAGCAUUUAAAUGUUAAAGAAUGUUAAGAAAUCUCUUUGUAAGGCAAAUGACUCCUUUGAAGUGUAAAUAACCCCUCAGUUGAUCUAAUAUUGAUAUUACCUGCUGCCAUUAUAGACGUUUCUAUUUUUCAAAGCGUUACCACGCUUUAAUGUAUUUGAUCAUCCAAAUGACUCUGUUGGCUAAGCACCGGGAACCCGUUCCUCCCACUCUCUGUAGAGGGAAAUGGAGGUGGGUUUUACCAGCGCUUUGCUUAACCAAGUUCACUCGGUAGUAGCGCCGGCUUAGACUUGAUGCUGUGUCAUCUGACUCGUGGCUGAAAACAGACUGUUGCUCUUUGUCAAGUUAUGUAUCUGCGUGCUUACGUCUUCAGGUGACGUCAGCGCUAUCAAGUUCCCUGAAUUCAAGCAUGCUCCCAAAUGACCUGCUUCCUGGGUCUUCCUCACUGGGUCUCCAUCUAUGGGAUUCAUCAGACUUUUCUGGGUGCUUCUUUAAAAGGCAGGAGCUGAGAGCCACCUUGGACUUGCCAAAUCUGAGCCACUGGGGCGGUGGGAGGGAUAGCAUGUCCACCUUUACAGCCUUCUGAGCUAAUCUUAAAAGACAUCAGUGUUGGAGAACUGUAGGUGGAACUUAACUAUGGGGCUUCAGAGGAGCCCGCGUUCUGGCCAGGUGCUAAAAUCACACAGUAGUGGCCGGCGCCAUGGCUCACUAGGCUAAUCCUCCGCCUUGCGGCUCCAGCACACCGGGUUCUAGGCCUGGUAGGGGCACUGGAUUCUGUCCCGGUUGCCCGCCCCUCUUCCAGGCCAGCUCUCUGCUGUUGCCCGGGAGUGCAGUGGAGGAUGGCCCAAGUGCUUGGGCCCUGCAUCCCAUGGGAGACCAGGAGAAGCACCUGGCUCCUGCCUUUGGAUCAGCGCGGUGCGCCGGCCGCGGCGGCCAUUGGAGGGUGAACCAACGGCAAAAGGAAGACCUUUCUCUCUGUCUCUCUCUCUCUCACUGUCCACUCUGCCUGUUAAAAAAGAAAAAUCACACAGUAGCCAGACACAGAAAGGGAAUGUGCAACCAUACGCCAUAGAUUAUCCUAGAAAUGCCACUCUCUUCGGGAUACACAGCCCGAUGGUAGACUUUGUCCAUAGAAGGGUGGUGAUCAGAAGGUCCAAAAGGACUUUGUGACAGCACCAUUGGUCACCACAAAACUAAUGCAGGACCCAGCUCCCCACUCUUACACGAGCAAGGGAUGGUAUGAACCCUGCUGGGACUUUCCUGAGACCUUCAGGUCGCGCACUCAGUGCGCAUUUGCCAAGGUGUUGGAGGAGAACGCAGAAGUUUAACACACCAGGAGUGACACUGAGGGCCCGCCCCCUGCAUCCCUCAGCUUCCUGGAGGCAUCACGAAGCUUCCUUGCAGUCUUCUUGUGUGUCAGUGGUGCCACGGGACUUGUUGCCACCAAUGGAACAGGAGAUGGAGUGUGGUACAUUACCCAUGACAGGUAUGUAACCCUGUCAUGAGAACCGCCUACCAAAGUCAAGAACCAGUGACCAGUGUGGUGAGAGCAGGCAGUGUUGCCUUCUUCAUAGGAUCUCUUUUUCCUCACCUACUAGAUGCAGGGAGUACAGUAGAGAAAUUCCAGUCUUGAAGGGAAGCCAGAGAGGGAAGCAGAAGGAGGCUGAAUCCCACAAUGGCUGCGUGGGGCAGGGCCCAUCAUCCUUCCCCCCUCCCCCAACCCGUGUUGGGCCGUGAUGCCAGUGAGGUUAGGGAACAGCCAAGCUUUGUCACAGUUGCUAGCCUGCCCUGCCCAGCAGGGACGGAGCCACCGGGACUGCCUGCAUCACUCUGCACAGAUUCCCGUGUGUCUCCGGGGACAACCCCAUGAGCACGAGGCUACGUUUUCACCAUCUCACUCUCUGCCCCAUCCCUUCUCAGCACUUAGGAAUCCAUUUUCUUCCUCUUCCCCUCCCUGUUCCCCUGGGACCCACAUACAUUUUCUAGCCCUCAAUUGAAUUUUGCCUGGAAAAUGUUGACUGCCAUUAACCAUCAGGGUGAGGCCUCUUGGUUUUCACCUCUCUGCUGACAUCCGAGUCCAACGUGUAAUCAAAAGGGAAGAAAGAGGGCCAAAGCCCUCCAACAUGAGUUUCCAACAUCUGGUUCCUCAAAGGGCCUAAAAGCCAGAGGAAGAUCCCAUGGAAGCUGGCCUAUUCGGGAAGCAGCUUCCUUAAGGGUGCCUGUCAUGCUCAGAACCCAUCUUCAGCCUCCGUGUGGCCUUAAGGGAACUCUUACCAGGUCAGAUAUCUAUGCCAGCUGCCUUUGGGAAGCUGUUCUGGUAACCCUGAGUGUUGUCUUCUCCAGAGGCCUGGGGUGUGCUGUGGCAUCAGACUGAGCAGGUGGAAUGCACUCAGUAGGCAGACAGAGCAGGGAGGAAUGCCCCAGGCUCAUCACUUAAGAGUUGUGUGCCUUCCAGUGAGUUCAUUAACCUUUCUGGGCCGUAGUGGCUUUAUGUGCGAAACGUGGCUUCAUGCACGAAACGUGGGUGGCGUCGGGCCAUACCUUGUGGUUCUGUGGUGAGGAUUACAUGAAGCGAUCCGGGCAGAGGGCAAGUGUCCACGCAUGUGAGCAGCUGUGCUAACACAUGUGCUUGGGGUUGUUUUUGUAACAUCUGGGUUUCUUCUGCUCCAAAAAGAGCUUGUCCUGAAGCAUGAGGAACUUCAACUUUCUAGACUUUUAUUUUAUUUUUUAAAGGAUGUAUUUGUUUAUUUGAAAGUCAGAGUGGAGAGAGAGAGAGACAGAGAAAGAGAGGAGAGACAGAGAUCUUCCACUCCCUCAAGUGACUGCAAUGGCCAGGGCUAAGCCAGGCUGAAGCCAAGAGCCAGGAGUUUCUUCCAGGUCUCCCUCAUGGGUACAGGGGCCCAAUACUUGGGCCAUCCUCAGCUACUUUUCCCAGACCAUUAACAGGGAGCUGGAUUGGAAGUGGAGCAGCUGGGACUCAAACCGGUGUCCACUGCGGGCGGUAGCUUAGCCUGUUAGGCCACAAUGCUGGCCCCAGCUUUUAGAUUUUUUUAAGAGAUGGUAUUCAACAGUUUUUCACCCCUACA